rnacentral:tRNA from 1 species
GCCCGAGUGGUGGAACUGGCAGACACAAGGGACUUAAAAUCCCUCGCCUGCGGGUGUGUGGGUUCGAAUCCCACCUCGGGCACCA